rnacentral:tRNA from 2 species
GCGAAAGUGGCGGAAUUGGCAGACGCGCAGGAUUCAGGAUCCUGUGGGGUAAAACCCGUGGGGGUUCAAGUCCCCCCUUUCGCA